AACACGAUUACUGGUCCACCUAGAAAUGCCGUGGAGCGAUUUAAGAGCCUCGGAAAUUUCCUUUAAGACUAGUCUCACUCUGUUGCCCAGGCUGGAGUGCAGUGGCGCGAUCUCAGCUUACUUCAGCCUCCGCCUCCCGGUUUCAAGUGAAUUCUCCAGCCUCAACUUCACAAGUAGCUGGGAUUACAGGGCAUUCAAGCAGCCCUGAGGAGAGGUCCACAUGGUGAGCCACUGAGGGCCUUGCCAAGAGCCAGCACCAACGGUCCAGGUUUGGAGUGUACCACCUUGGAAGUGAAUCUUCCAGUCCAGUCAAGCCUUCAGAUGACUUCAGAACCGUCCAUGUAAGCCACUCUUGGAUUCCUGACCCACAGAAACUGUUGGAGACAGACAAACAUGUGCCUCCUGAUUGAAAAAACAGAACAUCACCUGUAGUCUUGCCAGUGAGAUCAAACUGAAGUCCAAUUAACCUCUGGAUCCAGCUGCCAAUUUGCAGGAAAUAGAGGAGAGAAGCAUCUGUUGAACUGCACCAUGAGUAUACACUCAGCAAAGGCCAAACUGUGGAAAAUGAUACAGGUCAAACAGCCUGGAUUCUUUAACAGUAAGUGAUGUUUCUGAAGCACCAAUGAAAAUGAAGUCCUGAAGUCCUGUGCUCAAUAUGAAAUGUUGGAAGUUAGAAGAAAAAAACAAAACUUGGAUCCAAUCUCAAGGCACUUUUUGUUUAAUGGGAAGAAGUGGAUUAUUUUAAAAGCUACAAAUAAAGUUACAUAAAAGUA
rnacentral:lncRNA from 10 species